UCAUUGUUACCAUGAUUGAGAAGUGUGUGUUCAGUGUAGAGGACGGCACAGUGGGUUAGCGCGCAUCAUUGUUGCCUCACAGCAAAAAGGUCUCUGGUUCAAUGCUUACUUGAACUGUCAGAUCUUGUUUUGGUAGUGGUUUUGUUUUGCAUAACAGGCAAGUUCAUAUGGAUUUAAAUAAAUAAAUUAUAUUUAUCAGAGCAUAGUGUGUAACUUAUCUGACAUGACAUUUUUUUUCUUUUUGGCCAACAAGAAAAUUUUAUUAAUACAUUUUAUUUCAAUUUGGCCCAACAAGCUAUGUUUAAUCAAGAGACAAUAUUUAAUUGACAGAACACUCUAUUUUAAGUUCAGUCUACAUGCUGGGGUAGUCAGCAAAACACAAAAAAGUUUGUUUCCCCAACUUAAAUUGGGCCAACUAACAAUUUGAGGUGCAACGGGUCACUAGAAAUUUUUAUGUUGGAGGCAUAUUUUUUUUUACAGUGUGUCAUGGGUACUAACCAAUCAUGAAACGAUUACAAGGAUUCAACUUACGUCAUUAAAGUGUACUUCUGCGCAAAUCUACAGAAGCGCACUGAGAGAAAUGCCCACGCCCCCUCCGUGCGCGUUUGUUUGUUUGGGUAGCAUAGCAGCCGGCUAGGCUCUCCGGAGCCGCUGAGAACCUCUCCAAAGGUUAGAAAUAUCAUCUCCAUCGUGGAUCGUCGAAUGCAGAUGACUUUUUUGUGUUGAGAGUGGUUUGGAGAAGUUGAUAAAGAGCACGACCGCGGAGCAACAAUGCAAGACUGGAUAUAAACAAACCGCGUCGUCGAGGAGAGAUGGACCGGACUAUGAGCUCAGCUGCGCUCGCUUGGAAAAAGGCUUUAGCUGACACAGAGGAGGACUGGAAUCUGGAGUGCUUUCAUGAGCGACCACAUUCAAAAUAACAAGUAUUUUGUUAUAAUGUGCAAAUGUUUUUUUCUGAAAAAGUUUUUUCUAUGUGCUUUGGUGGGUAGAGAAGUUCUGAAUUGAUAUACAUCAUGUAAUAUGUAGUCCUGACUCAUUUUCUUUUGAUAAUCAUGUCAUUUUGUUAUCAUGUGUAUAUUUAAAGUUUCCAAGUGCACUUUUUCUGAAAGGACGCCUGGGGUGUAUUCCAGAAAGCAGGUUAUGUGACUUACCCGGGUAUGUUUAGGAGUAAGUAAGCGGAUAACCUCUGCUUUCGGUUCCAAAAACGAAGGUAACUUUCGGGUUAUGUAAGAAACCAUAGCAACUGACUCUCUGAAGAUAACCUACUCCGGAGCAGGUUAUGUUGCAGGGUAAGUUCAUUUCAGUUAAUAAAACGAGGCUCCGGAGGAUGUCUGCGCAUGCGUGUACUUAUGAUGAGCGUGCAGCGGGCGUGGAAGCAUAUAUUUUGCAUAAUAUUACAAUAUUAAAGCAUUUAUUUUCUUACAUUUAUAGUCGCAAAUAUUUAUUGCUGUCUUAAAACAUUUACGAUAUUUUCUUUAAAGAAACAUUUUUUUUAUAACAUGGAUUGAUAUUUGUGAUUGGACUAAUUACUGUACAUUUAAUUAUGUCCAUUAUUGAUAAAAAAUUAUUCAUAUUUGUGUUCGGACUAAAUACUAUACAUUUAAUUAUGUUCAUCAUUAAUAUAUCUCCAAAUAUCAGUAGAUGUAUGAAACACAUUUCACAAGUACAUUUCUAUUUAAAUUUGGUCAAUUCAUAAAUAACCUCAUCUUUCACUUACUAGAUAAUUUGAGAUGAAUCUAAAGUUCUAAUAAAUUGUGUGUGCAAAUACAUUGUCAAUAUUGAGCCAGAAAUCUUAACAUAUUUUACUUAAGUGACAAUGUGCCAAUGUUACAGUAACAAAUAGAAACACAUGAUGCCUAUCAAAAUAAUAAUUACUGAGGGACAGAAGUUACCCC